rnacentral:tRNA from 1 species
GCGCCCGUAGCUCAGCUGGAUAGAGCGCUGCCCUCCGAAGGCAGAGGUCAGAAGUUCGAAUCUUCUCGGGCGCG